UGGGGAAUAUUGCACAAUGGAGGGAACUCUGAUGCAGCGACGCCGCGUGAACGAAGAAGGCUUUCGAGUCGUAAAGUUCUUUUAUAUGGGAAGAUAAUGACGGUACCAUAAGAAAAAGCCCCGGCUAACUACGUGCCAGCAGCCGCGGUAAUACGUAGGGGGCUAGCGUUGUCCGGAAUCACUGGGCGUAAAGGGUUCGCAGGCGGAAAUGCAAGUCAGGUGUAAAAGGCAGUAGCUUAACUACUGUAAGCAUUUGAAACUGAAUAUCUUGAGAAGAGUAGAGGUAAGUGGAAUUUUUAGUGUAGCGGUGAAAUGCGUAGAUAUUAAAAAGAAUACCGGUGGCGAAGGCGGCUUACUGGGCUCAUUCUGACGCUGAGGAACGAAAGCGUGGGUAGCAAACAGG
rnacentral:rRNA from 1 species